rnacentral:rRNA from 1 species
GACGAACGCUGGCGGCGUGCUUAACACAUGCAAGUCGAACGGAAAGGCCCUGCUUUUGUGGGGUGCUCGAGUGGCGAACGGGUGAGUAACACGUGAGUAACCUGCCCUUGACUUUGGGAUAACUUCAGGAAACUGGGGCUAAUACCGGAUAGGAGCUCCUGCUGCAUGGUGGGGGUUGGAAAGUUUCGGCGGUUGGGGAUGGACUCGCGGCUUAUCAGCUUGUUGGUGGGGUAGUGGCUUACCAAGGCUUUGACGGGUAGCCGGCCUGAGAGGGUGACCGGCCACAUUGGGACUGAGGUACGGCCCAGCCUCCUACGGGAGGCAGCAGUGGGGAAUAUUGCCCAAUGGGCGGACGCCUGAUGCAGCAACGCCGCGUGCGGGAUGACGGCCUUCGGGUUGUAAACCGCUUUCGCCUGUGACGAAGCGUGAGUGACGGUAAUGGGUAAAGAAGCACCGGCUAACUACGUG